rnacentral:lncRNA from 1 species
UGCGGCGCGGGAGGCCAAGGUCCACGGCCUCGCUGCUGCCCGGAACCCCUACGCGGCGCAGAUCUACGACGCAUAUGAGGAUGACCACUGGGUGCACCUAGUGGUGGAGCUCCUCGACGGCCCCGACCUCUGCGACCGGAUCGCCGCCCGCGGGGGGACACCGUUCCCCGAGCCGGAAGCGGCAGCUGUGGUGGAGGCGCUUGCGGAGGCCCUAGCUGGCUGCCACCGACGGGGGGUAGCGCACCGGGACGUGAAGCCGGACAACGUGCUCUUCGACGCGCUGGGCCACCUCAAGCUGGCCGACUUCGGGUCAGCUCAGUGCUUCCUCGAUGCAGACGGGGAAUGGGCGCCGAUGAGUGGGCUGGUGGGAACACCGUGGUACGUGGCGCCGGAGGUGGUGGCGGGUCGGGAGUACGGGGAGAAGGUGGACGUGUGGAGCGUGGGGGUGGUGAUGUACAUGAUGCUUUCCGGCGGAGCGCCCCCGUUCUACGGGGACACAGCGGCGGAGACCUUCGAGGCGGUGGCCAGGGCCAACCUGAGGUUCCCGUCGAGGGUUUUCCGCUCGUUGUCGCCGGCGGCCAAGGACCUGAUGCGGCGGAUGCUCUGCAGGGACGUCGCAAGAAGGUUUUCCGCCGAACAAAUCCUCGGUAAGUUGUACUGUUCAUCUCGAUCGAUUCUAUCCCAUUUGAUUUCAGUAUCAGACGGUCUUGUUGUUCGAUCCUAUUGUUGAUUUCUUUGAUUCUGCAUCUUUCUUUUCGCCAAGAACUCAUUUCUUUAUUCAGAUAUAGGGAUUUUAACGUAGUGACGAUUCUUUGUUGAUAACCAGGGCAUCCUUGGAUUUUAAGUGGAGGGAUGAGUCCGGUGGAGGGACCAAGCCGGGAUCCAUCACUGUCCAUGGAGAGCCCGGAAGGCUCGCUGCUUGGGCUCUGCGCAUAGCGCAUACCGUGUACGAAUACGGCAUAUUUUGUUUUCUUCGACAGUCACUUUCGUUCGAAGAAGGUUUUAGAACCGAUGAGAUAAGAGAUGAUGAGUUUUCCUCCACCGGAGUGUACAUAAAAAUGUAAAGCCUCCCCAUCCCUCGUGGGAUGUUCCUUCUACUCGUCUGUUUGACUCGUUGGCGUGGAGAUGUAUGAAGAGGAAGAAGAUAUGUGAGAAUUUGCAUCUUUUGUAUCUGCUUGUAUAAAAAUUAAGUGUAUCCUUUCCUACCUGAUAGCUGCGGUCUCUUAUUUCCUCCCGUCUCUGCAUUCGUAUGUGUCAUGUUGUCCCGUUGGUUGUCGUUGGGCCCUUUGUUUACUCUCAAUAAUUCUGCUGUCGACUUACGACACACCGCAACAGAAAAGUGACUUCCCCCUACCCCGCAUCGUCUAUCAAUGCAUUGUUAAUGACGGCUCCGCGCAAGAUUCUCACGUCAAAUCAUGACGGGCUGGCACGGCGCAUGCGUUUCCUGUGGCAGUCCACAGGCGGUCUCCAUUCAAAGCCUCGUCGCAUUGACACAUUCGCAUUAGGAUUAUUUUUGGGAAUCGAUAUUAAACCGUGAUUAUUGAAUUGGGUUGCAGUUGAACGACUAAACUAUUAGUGGAACAGAUCUCAAGCCCACAGUAUAGUCUCCAAAACCAGAUGCUGCAGAGUGUCUGCCGCAUGCAAUUGGGACUCCUGCUUCUUGUCUGGCAGUGGAAAUUGCAUGUGCCUUGCUUUCUCAGUGGCUCAUAAUGCAGAUAGCACCUCACGGGAGGAUGACAUCAAUGUGGAUUUGCCUUGCCCAUGCCGUUCUGUCGAGUGGAGACAAAGGAGAGCACAUGGUGGUGUUCCGCAGUACCUGCUGCCUCAAACUGCCAAACUGUCGAACAGAUACCAUCCCAAAGUACUCAAGAUAAGGACCUGUGGUUAUAUAUUAAAUAAUAAGUAAAAAAUAAUAAUUGAAUUAUUAUGAAAAAUAAUUCAUAUUAAAGGUCUAGUCCAAUGUUGAGAACUCAUGAGUUUUAGUGGGGUCUGAUGUGGACCACUUUUGAUGCAGUGGUGAGUUGCGUGAAACACUCGAAUUGGAGGAAUCAAUGAUAUGGUGACUGUCGGAGCACGCGUUGUACCACCAUUCACGCACGGUUUCAUUUUAGUGGCGGAUGAUGGCUUAUCCACCAUGAGGUGAAGUCCUACUGGGGGUAAGAUCAUGAAUCCCACGCAUCCGGCACUUGUAGCAAGUUAGAUCAUCACGAGUUGCUUAUCCUAGAAAUCAAACCGUGUUCUACUUCAGUGCUUCAAUCCACAGUUGGGAAGGUCCAGAUGAUUCCUGUGGAGUAUGUGUCAUGAUUCAUGCCCCCAUUAUUGCAAGCUCGAAUGAGAAGAACUUGGUGAUAUGCUAUCAUCAUAUGAUGCAAUACCACUCUUUCUCCAUCUCAUCCCUUCCAGGUGGUGGCGGAAUCCUCUCACACAUUCACACUACUUGCUCCAUAAACAAGCAUAUCUCGUUCCUUCUUCUUCGUUCUACAUACGUCAACAUCUUCUUCCGGAUAAAUUCAUGCCACCGAUAUCUGCAAAAAAAUAGUUUUGCCCCAUUGAUUUCUUGCAUCUGUAACCCAAUCUGUCCAUGUUUACUCUUUCCUCCAUCUCACUGGUUAUGCUGAACCGAUGACAUCAGUGAUCACGCUCACAAAGGUCGUAUUAUAAAGAAAGCGAUAUGGAAGAAAAGUUCGUGUCCUCAUGCGUCAAAAUCACUGGAGCUGCUCCUCACAGUGCAUGGAUAAUGCAGGCAACAAUUAUUUGACAAGAACUGUUUUCUGUAUUGAAUUGUACUACAACUCCAAAUCACCUUAUUUUGUUUGACUAAACCAAUAAUUGCAUUUGUUGUAGCAUAUCUAUAAAAUCUUAAUUUUUAUUGGGGGUAAAUAAGUUAAUUUAUUUCUUUCCGAUCUUAUCUUUAUAUCCACAACUUUUAUGUGAUUGCUAUGAACAGCUUUUAUAUAUAUAUAUAUAUAUAUAUAUAUAUAUAUAUAUAUAUAUAUAUCUUUGUUUUAUGCAUUGUCCUAAUGCCAACAGGAAAAUGUGAAGCAAUGUAAUCAGGAAAUGGCUUGCCACCUCACAGUAAAUUGCAAGGAUGCGGAUGAAAGCUAAGCAAAAAUGGUCAAUGAAUAGACUGGACACAAAUUUCAACCACACAUUCUUAGUCUUAUUAAGUAAUUAAUUGAUGAAUAUUCAUAACUCAUGCAUCUGCUUAAGUAUUUAUUUAACGUGAAGUAUGAAUGGCUUAAUGUUGUCAAGCUGUUAAAAUUUUUACUAUUUAAUGAGUUAUUUAAUUAUGAUGAAUCUUGUAUUUAAAGUAUUAAUUUUUUUUAUUGAUAUGUGAUGUUAUUAUUUUAUUAUUUCAUGUAUUGUGAAAUAGUUAAAUGAUUUAUUAUUUUAUUAUUUUCCAUGUAUCAAAAAUCAUGAAUCAUGUAUUGGUUUUUCUUAAUGAUGCAUAAUAAUACAGUGUUGACAUGAGACAUAUGUGAUUGAGUAUUAAUAUUUAUUAUAUAUAAUUUUAAUUUUAGGUUAGAAUCUUGAUAGUUUUCUUAUCAUAGGUUUACAUCUCAUUGAUAAAUUUAUGAUUUGACAUAUGGGAUGACAUUUAAGUCGAUCAAGGACGAUGUCUCUAGGAUAAGAUUGGUUCUCUUGAUUUAUUUGAGUUUCAUAAUAAUUUUUAUUUUUAAUUUGAAUAAAAAUAUGUAUAUAAUACGACAUAUAAUAUGAAAAGUAGAUAAAAGAAUAUAUAAAAGAGAAAUAUGUAUGAUGUUUGAUAUGAUUUUGAUCCAACUUAUCUGACAUACAUUAAAUAUGGUGUAUUAUUUAUUUGAAUAUUAUUAUUUUAUUAUGUAUAAUUUGAGUAAGUAUUGGAAUAAGUAUGUAUUAUGUAUUAUUUAUAUGAUUAUUUUUUAUGGUAUCAGUAUAUGAUCAAUAUAUAAUAAUUAUGAAUCAUUUAUUAUGAAUAUACUUGUGGUUUACAAGACACAUUAGUAAAUCCUUUUUGUUGGUGUAUAGUCCAUUAUUAUACUUAUUCAUAUUGAUUCAAUGUAUUAUUAUUAGAUUAUAUGAUCUUAUUUAAUUAGAUAAGAUAUAUUAUAGAUAUAAUUAGAUUUUAAUUAUAACUAUCUGUCAAUAAAAAAAAUUAAUUAUAGUAGAAUUUUUUAGAAGAUGAUCUUGAUGGGAGAGACUCUCCUAAUUGUUAUCCUAGACCAUCUGCUCUCACAUAUAAAAAUAUACAAUAUACUAGGGAUGAAAUACUAGAAAUUAAUAUUAUAGAUUUAUUUUGAAUCUCCUUUAGCCUUUAUUUUAUCACUCAAAGUAAGUGAUAUCGCUAUUUGUUUUCGAUUUUUACAUUAAAGUUCUUAAUAUAAUAAUGGUAUAAUUAUAAUUUUAUGAUACAAUUAGUGUUAAAACAUUAUUCGUAUUAAAUUGAUAGACUACUAUUGAUAACUUGUUGUCCAUGUCAAUAUUAUUAUUGAGGACGAUAGCCUCCGAUGGUCAUCAGCCUAGUCAUGAGUAGUAAUUAUGUAUAGGUACUUCAGCAUCACAAGGUGUGACAAUUGAUGAUGGUUAUAUGCAAUAAUUGUAUAAGUGUAAUCCCACAUUAUACAUCAUAAUAUAUAUGUGCUAUUUCACACUGUAUAUCAUAAUAUAUAUGUGUACUCCUACACCACAUGCCAAAAUACAUAUAUGUACUUUCACACUACAUGUUAUAGUAUAUAUAUAUAUAUAUUAUAUCGUAAUAUAUUCGUAUACUUUCAUACUGUAUAUGAUAAAAAACACGUGUACUCCUAUACCACACAUCAUCAUAUAUAUACAUAUAAGAUAUUUUUAUUAUAAUUCAUAUAUUUUUAUAUUUAUAUAAUAUAUACAUUUACAUUUAGGUCAUGACUAGAUCAUGAUGAUCAUAUCUAUCAAAAUAUACUUUCCAAAAUAUAUUACGCAUACAAUAAUUUAUACAACCACUAUUAAAAUAUGAAAAGCCAUAAUUAAGAAUCCUACCUCUCAAAUUAUUGAUUUAUAAUCAUUCUUAGCAGUAAUUUAUAGAAAAAGUUUGAUAACAUUUCUUACAAAUAAAAUAUAUUCAAUCUAAAAAAUUAUCUAAAUUUCAUCAUCAAUUUUUAACAAUUCACUCUAUAAAUAAAUAAACUAGUUAGUAACAAUCAAACUAUCGCACAAUUCUAUGAAAAAAAUUUUCUUUGCUAUUCUAGUUUACUAAACAAUCUUGAAUUAUUAAAAAAAUUUGUAGAAGACUAGGAGAUAUAUAAAACUAAGUACAUACCAAAAUUUAACUUAAAAUCAAAUUAUUUAGAGGCUAAACUACCCUCUUAAUUCAACUAUCAAUAAUUGUUCUAUAAUUGUUCUAUUCUAUCGAAAUUGGGUUGGGACUAUAUAAACUUAUAGACCUCAUAUCUUGGUGCACAGAGGUAGUAUUCACUCAAUUCUAAAUCUCAUAAGACUCUAAGGGAACCUUUUAAAAUAUAUUAAAAGAUCAAAACCUAAUCAUAUCCCUAAAAGAGCUAAUUUAACUUAAAUAGAACUUCUUCUUAGAAAAUAGGGGAUUCUGAGUAUCUUAGAUUAGGACAAUAAUAACUCUAUGCACUAAUUUCAAACUAAGAUCAUACUAAAGACUUUAGAAUCAUAAGAGAAUUAUACAAAAUAUAUCCAAAAAUUAAAAAUAAAUUCAAAGUCUAACUUACUCAAAAGCAAUUGAAAAAAUUAGCCUAUAAUUUAUCUAUAAAACUGAAACCCUAAGUAUAGUAAAGGAAAAAUUAGAUUUUCUUACUUCAAUCUUCCUUAAAAAUAUGGUUUCUUAGCUUUUACAAAAAAAAAAGCUAAAAGAAUAGCUGAAGAAGAAGAGAAAAGGACAUGGGUUAUUAGGGAGGUAAAGAGGAUGAGAUCGAAUUAAAGUAGAGAUACUUGACAGAUUGUCUUCAAGUCAAGAGUUCAAUUUCAUUGGAUCUCAUUUCAAGUUUUUUUUCUUUUCUUUUCUUUUUUUAUUAAUAUAAUUCCAAUGUUGUAGUGCCUUUUAUUAAGCUCAAUGUGGUCUAACAAAGAUAAUAUUUUUGGUUUAAAUUCAUCAUUCAAUCUGACUUAUGUAUCUCAAUAUUUACUAUAACACUCUUCUUUGAUUUGUAUCUCUAUUUAUUUUUUUAUUACUCCAUCCAUACUUAAGUAGCUUAUGAUCCUCUAUAUAUAUAAUGUUUAAAAUAUAAACUUUCUUAUAUUAAUUAUGAUCAAACUUAUUCAAGUCUUAAAAUUCACUUAAGGCCAAUUAAAAUUUAAUUAUCACUUCUAGUCAUUAUAUGCAUACUUAUUAUCAUAAUUUAACCUCAUAUUCAAGUUUGGUUAAUGUAAACAUCAAUGCUUAUUAUUACACUAUGCUUAAUGUAAACAUCAAUGCUUAUACAUACUCAACCAAUAUUUUGUAGAAUACUAAGAAUAAUAUUUUUAGAAAGUAUGUACUUUAAUCUUAAAGUCCGAAAAUAUGAGCGUGCUAUUUAUCAUAUUUAUGAAGCAUAGGCCUUACAAAUUAUAUUACUAAGUGAGGGUAACAUAUACAUAUCAUUUAUACUUCUAUUAGUAUACUAGUUAUAGAUCAAAAUGUAUAAGACUCGGCACUACAGAGGGCCUCGAUUUGCAUAUGAUCCAACCCGUUUUACAUCGACUUGAUGGGAUUUACAUGUCUCUAGAAAGAGAUAUAGUUUAUUAGUUGAUAAGGAUUUAUAUAAAAAUCAUGAUUUUCUAGAUAAUAUGACGUCUCUACUUCCAUAUGGUCUUGAAGGAUCAGAAAGAACAGUUAGGGCCUCCAUUUGCAUCCGAUUUGACCCAUUUUGCAUUAACUUAUAAGAUUUACAUAUCUCCAUAAAGCAAUAUAGUUUAUUAGUUGAUUAGGAUUUAAAUGCAAAUCAUGAUUUUCUAGAUAAGAUGAUAUCUCCACUUUCACAUGGUCUCGAAUAAUAAAAAGCAAUGGCUUUUUAAGUGCCUCCAUUUGUGUUCUAUCUUACCUAUUUUCCACUGACUUGAUGAGACUUAUGUGCUUCCACAAAGAAAAUUAGUUUAUCAUUUGAUAAUGUUUUAAAUACAAAUCAUAGAUUUUUAGAUAAGAUAACAUGUCCACUUCCACAUGGAUUCGAAGAAUCAGAAGUAGUGAUUCUUUAAGUGGACAAUGAAAGCCACUUUUAUUGUACUUUACUGGUCCGGAAUGACCGAAAGAAACGUUCUUCCAAAUGGUUGGCUUCUUAUCUUCCACAAUCAUAGCCAGUGCUAUAGCCAAACUAUUGCACUGCUAAAUCUGAUUCUUCUUCAUAAUAAUUACUAAGGCGGAUUCAUGAUUUGGAAGUUGAUGAAGAAAAGAUGGCCAAUAUGUAUGGUGAUCAGUCCUUGAUGCUAUAAUAGUUUGAGAUGUCAGAUUCAAGUUCCUCGAGCUGAAGAAAACACAAUGGAUAAGCCAAAGGAACUGUGAGGAAUAAGUUCCUUCCCUGACUCUCUCUCUCUCUCUCUCUCUCCCUCUCAAAUCCCAACAUCAUAAUCUUAUCUGAACUCAGAAAACUAAAGGAUAAACAAACAGCUCAAGGAAUGCAUCAUUGGGCAGGCGUAGAGUAGAUGUGCUGAUAGAGGUAAGAAAGGUCGGGAGCAGAAAUGAUGGCUGCAGGCGUGAGUGUGCUCCAACACGAUGGCUUUGGGGCUUUGGUAUCUGGCCGUUCCAUUUCAUGGCCCCUCCAUAUCCUGCUUGUUUGGAACGACAUAGAAAAGCUCCACAGAUCGGUGCAGAUAUUUGGGACCUUAUCACGUGCCCCUGCCACCGUGUUACAACGACUAUGUCUUGAAGGAAUAAUUGUCCUUGGUUUGGCUGCCGGAUGAAAGCAACGCUCUCUAUUCUGCCACAGAUCGGUGCACAAUAGAGUGCAGGAAGGAGCUCAUUUAUCUUGCGUGAUAGAGUGUGUGUGUCAAGUUGUAUAUUUUUAGUUAAAAUAUUAUAAGAAAAAAAAAAAGCAAGAAAAAGAAUAUGGAAUGAGAAAGUCAAAAUAUUUUGAUCGAGUCCAGCCUUUAUUGGACUUUUAAAGCAGAUCAACUUCGACACGAAUCUCAAAGAUCCUGACAUGACAUGAUCUAUUUUUAAUUCAAUUGUUGGACACGAUAAGCCACCGUGCCUAUUAUUUCUCCAACAAUGGGGGGAGCCGCGGGCAGCCCAUCCGGAACGGUCAAACGACAACCGCUUAUCACCUACGCGAACACGAUAACUCAGUGGAAAUCGCAGUCCACUUCACGCCUCGCCCAGUCCCUUUCUUCCUUAUUUAAUACGGCAAUCGAAGAAGUACAGUUCGAUCGUCGACCUGCUCUCCCAUUGGUUCUUGUCUCCAAGCUUUUUACACGUGUAAUCUUCCAAUUGGUUUGCUAUCCCAAUUGUACGUCUGCCGACAGGGACGGCCGAAAUAACGUUUCCUUUUCCCGGUCCCCAGCCUGGACCUAUUCAAGCAACAGCUGACCGUCCAUUGCGGCGCAUUAUUGGCGAACCAUCCGAUCCGACGGUGCCGGUUGGUGAGGUGAUCACCGAAAGAGUCCAAAUCACCCAAUUGAAACGGUGGGCCCAGUGCCACGGCUCAAUAAUAAUCGAGUGCCAGCUAAUAACCACUAUAAUAACCCCAUAGUUCCUAAAGCAUCCGGCGAAGUUGAAUCAGACGGCCCCAAUUCACUCUUCGAUUCAUUAAAGAGCAUAAAUUAACUUAGUGUAUAGGGUAGGCUCCAUCCGUCGCCUUAAACAGAGCAUAACAAUAAAUAAACUACUGGAACCUUACCGAACACAAAAACUAAGAAUGCAAUAGCUUAUCUAUGGAUAAGUUGCUUUGUCCGCUCCACCUGAGGUCAGUAAUUAUGUGAUGGGAGAAGAGGAUGCCGUCGGCCCGAAGAAAACAUAGAAGUUAAGAUUCUGUUCAACCGUCCGAUUAGAAGAACCAUGGAAUCCGCCGUCCGGGUCGUGGGGUUUCUCUAUCUAUCUAUAAAUAUUCCAAGCGACACCGGAAUUCAAUGGCAAAAGAGGGAGGUGGUGAGAGAGUGGAGAGGGGAAUUCUAGAUUGUUCAGAUCGGAUCGACGCGCUAUGGGCGAGGCAUUGACGAGGGACUACGAGAUCGGGGGCGAGAUCGGGCGGGGGCGCUUUGGGGUAGUGCGGCGGUGUCGGUCGGUGGCCACGGGGGAGGAGUUUGCGGUGAAGUCGGUCGAUAAGCGGCUCCUCGCGGACUCCGUCGACCGCGAGUGUGCGGCGCGGGAGGCCAAGGUCCACGGCGUCGCUGCUGCCGGAAACCCCUACGCGACGCAGAUCCACGACGCAUACGAGGAUGACCACUGGGUGCACCUAGUGGUGGAACUCCUAGAGGGCCCCGACCUCUGCGACCGGAUCGCCGCCCGCGGGGGGACGCCGUUCCCCGAGCCGGAGGCGGCAGCUGUGGUGGAGGCGCUUGCGGAGGCCCUAGCUGGCUGCCA